AUUGAACGCUGGCGGCAGGCCUAACACAUGCAAGUCGAGCGGAAACGAGUUAUCUGAACCUUCGGGGAACGAUAACGGCGUCGAGGGGCGGACGGGUGAGUAAUGCCUGGGAAAUUGCCCUGUUGUGGGGAAUAACCAUUGGAAACGAUGGCUAAUACCGCAUAAUAGCUUCGGCUCAAAGAGGGGGACCUUCGGGCCUCUCGCGUCAGGAUAUGCCCAGGUGGGAUUAGCUAGUUGGUGAGGUAARGGCUUACCAAGGCAACGAUCCCUAGCUGGUCUGAGAGGAUGAUCAGCCACACUGGAACUGAGACACGGUCCAGACUCCUACGGGAGGCAGCAGUUUGGAAUAUUGCACAAUGGGCGCAAGCCUGAUGCAGCCAUGCCGCGUGUAUGAAGAAGGCCUUCGGGUUGUAAAGUACUUUCAGCAGUGAGGAAGGCGGUUCGUUAAUAGCGUAUUCGUUUGACGUUAGCUGCAGAAGAAGCACCGGCUAACUCCGUGCCAGCAGCCGCGGUAAUAC
rnacentral:rRNA from 1 species